rnacentral:lncRNA from 1 species
GGCUUUAUUACUGAGUUCGUACCUAAUCUCCAAUCUCCCUCCCAGGCCAAGAAAACAAAACACUUCUGGAUCUGCGGCUUGAAGCUUAAAAUCGAGUCGGCAUGCUGCUGGACUCCUUCCGACCCAGCACCUCAGACCAGGUGAGCGGACACGCGAUUCCAGGUGCUUCCAUGAACUACGCAUGGCGUUCUCCCUAUAAACAGGGGGAAGGACAGGCCUUACCAGUUACAGAACCUGCACGCUCACCAGUUUCACUGACCCUGUGCGCAUCUGUGGACCCCCGCAGCAUGAGGGAGCUGGGCCUUUUUGGUCUUUGAAAAUGGACUAAAAGCUAUAGAAUAUUUCAUGGUUUAUUUGUUCUACCGUAAAGACCUGCUUCCUCUUGGGAGAAUGACUCCCUGGCUAAGGAGAGCUGGAAGGUCUGGAUGUCUUCCUUCUCUCCAUGCCCAUCAUUCAGGUGCGGUGUCAGCCCGGUUCUUCCAUCGUCUCCUGGCAUGACUUUGUGGAACGCCGAUCAAGGCCACGUAGAAAAGGCAGAGAGGACCGUAUGAGAUAUGUGGACCUGUGUGGCUUGAGGAGCAGUCCAAUUUCUCUCAUAAUUAUUGUAAGUAUUAUGUUGCAAGUUUUGCCCAAGAGGAGCUAUUUUAGAAUGGAAUGCUGUGACAGCGCGAACCAACUGGUAUCAGAGACUCUAAUCUCAGUCUUUAUGAAACGGGCAGAUUGGCAGGAAACCCCAAGGGUUCACCCACCACGAAUUAUGGUGAGGAAUGCAGAAGCAGGGCACCUUCUCCUCCGUCGGUGGAAGGCUGCCCCCUCCCCCAGGCCCCUUUCUCACUGGUCCCACCGGCCCCCUACCGCCACACCUCCUCUUACUUCCACGUUAACAAAGACAGGUUUUGGCAGGCAUAACUCAGCCAGUGAUUUCAAUUAUACCUUCCAGUGA